UGACCGAACUUACCCUGUUCCGAGUUCUCUGCAAACUAAACCUAACAUUUGUGUCUCCGUUGUUUUUCCUUCAGAACCUUUCGCCUACGCCACAGAUACCUCAAGCCUGGAACCCUAGGGCAACUGAACGUUCCCUGAUCGCCUGCCAGUGCAAGCCCUCCUCCUAGAGCUCACCUGCCUGUCCACCCUCAAGCCAUCUGCACAAGAGAGCAUCUCAGGAUUUUCACCCGGACCCAGGACAUCACCCCUCCUGGUCCUUGGCAAGCCUCCGACUCAACCAGAAGACUAUCAAACCGGACACCACCAACACCUGAGACCCUGCACUCUAAACAAUAACCAGAUCAAUAAACCAGAUUCAACUAAA